rnacentral:rRNA from 1 species
UGUAGUCUGCAACCCGACUACAUGAAGCUGGAAUCGCUAGUAAUCGCGGAUCAGAAUGCCGCGGUGAAUACGUUCCCGGGUCUUGUACACACCGCCCGUCACACCAUGGGAGUCGGAAAUGCCCGAAGUCUGUGACCCAACCUUAGGGAGGGAGCAGCCGAAGGCAGGUCGGAUGACUGGGGUGAAGUCGUAACAAGGUAGC